CACAGAGCUCCCUCCUUCUGAUAUCAUUCGGCAUAAUCAACCUCAUCGUAACGUGGCUAUCUGUGUUUUACUGCUGCGUGAAGAGCGCCUUGUCCAGAAAGAAGGCCCUGCGGGAUGACCGCUUCGGCUCGGCCACGCCCCCCAUGGGCACUGGAUCAGUGAGUGGUGGCGACGGUGCCACAGCACAGGACGUCUCUGCCGAUGACGAUGGAUCUCCAGACAUGAUGACAUCGGGGCCCCUGAGAUCGGAGGGAGCAAGCAGGGCGGGCGGGAGCUCCAUUCGUGACCCGCUAGUGGCGUCAGUGAAGAAGCGAGACCGUGACGAUACUUCCUCGGCGGGUGGCAACUGACAAGCCGUUGUCGCGCACACA
rnacentral:lncRNA from 1 species